AAAGGCUGAGGGGCCCCCAACUGGAUCAGGCCCUCUGAAUAGGUAACUGGGAAGAACUACACUCAUAAAGUAAGGCGCACCCCUCUACCUGAAAGAUGGCAUCGUGCACAAGCCAGUGCUGUGGAGGAGACAUCAGUUUUCUGCUAAUGCCACUGAGAAAAGAUGAAGAACUUCAAUGGCUUGAGGCCGCUUAGUGAUGACCAAGAGCUGACGGUCCCGUGCCAAGUUUGUUUCCGAAAUGGAAAAAGAAUGAAGUGCAGCAGCAAGAUUUACACUCCUCCUUGGUCCACAGCCGAAAUCGGCUUCAGUGGGGUGGAUUAAUCAAGUGUUUUGUUUUCCAAUCUGUGCUUGCCCGCUCCAGGACAACUGAUAUUUAGUAGAAAAAUGUAGCUGAAUAUAAUC